rnacentral:lncRNA from 1 species
CCCCACCUCCCCACAUCUUCUAUUUCUCUUUCGCUCCACACAGGAAAACAAAACCGUAUUAGCCUCCCACACAAAGAGGCUGGACACCUCUGCAGAUGAACAUUGAAGUGAAGUGGACAUUGCUGGGACAGUGGCUGCAUUAUCAUUGACACUGCAACUCUGACAGCCAAGACAGCAAACCAACCCGUCAGCCAUGACAGCGGCCCCAUACCUUACCUCCAGCGACCCUCUGUCAGCUGCCAUGACUUCUAAUCGCGUCUUGACCCUGGUCAUGCCCGUGAUCCCGACCCCUUACCCCUGGAUGGAGGAGGAGCACAUCCAGGUACACACCAUCCUGAUUGUCAUCAUCUUCUGCGUGGUCUGCUUCCUGCUCCUGGUGGCCUUCUUCUACGCUUUCUGCAUCCGCUGCACACUGAAGCCGUCCCCCAAAGACUCCCGGCCUGCCCACAGCUGUAGUCUGGAGCGUGAGGAUGCCAGCUUCUGCCGCAGCUCCUCCGAUUGCCAGUCGGUUGGGAACGUGGUCUGAAUGGAGAAGAGUACAUGAGAGAACUAGAGAGGAAGGCUGAGAGGAGAGGAAGUCAAAGAGGAGAGGAAGUCUGAGAAGAGAGGAGGACUGAGAGGAGAGGAAGGCUGAGAGGAGAGGAAGUCUGAGAGGAGAGGAAGGCUGAGAAGAGAGGAAGGCUGAGAGGAGAGGAAGUCUGAGAAGAGAGGAAGGCUGAGAGGAGAGGAAGUCUGAGAAGAGAGGAAGGCUGAUAGGAGAGGAAGGCUGAGAAGAGAGGAAGGCUGAGAGGAGAUGAAGGCUGAGAAGAGAGGAAGGCUGAGAAGAGAGGAAGGCUGAGAUGAGAAGAAGUCUUAGAGAGGAGAGGAAGGCUGAGAGAGGUUUGAUAGCUUCUAUAUUAAUACAUUUCUGAGAUUAUGCGGCCCACCGUGCAACAGUGUUCAGGAAGUAGGAAUGAUCUGUUGGGGUGUGUCAUGGAGGAGCAGUAGAAUGUUACACUACUGUGCAUAACAGG